rnacentral:rRNA from 1 species
AUUGAACGCUGGCGGCAGGCCUAACACAUGCAAGUCGAGCGGAGCGGCGGACGGGUGAGUAAUGCCUAGGAAUCUGCCUGGUAGUGGGGGAUAACGUCCGGAAACGGGCGCUAAUACCGCAUACUAUCAGAUGAGCCUAGGUCGGAUUAGCUAGUUGGUGGGGUAAAGGCCUACCAAGGCGACGAUCCGUAACUGGUCUGAGAGGAUGAUCAGUAACACUGGGACUGGGACACUGUCCAGACGCCUACGGGAGGCAGCAGUGGGGAAGAGUGGGCAAUGGGCGAAAGGCUGAACCAGCCAUGCCGCGUGUGUGAAGAAGGUCUUCGGAUUGUAAAGCACUUUAAGUUGGGAGGCGUUACCAACAGAAUAAGCACCGGCUAACUAUGUGCCAGCAGCCGCGGUAAUAC